rnacentral:lncRNA from 1 species
AAAAAAAUAAUGAGAAAAUCUUCUUUGUAUCAAAAAAACAAAAAAAAACUUAAUGCUAUAUAUUAUAUCCAAAAAUAGGAAACACAGUACACGCUUCUCAUAUUCUAUUUUUCCAAAUUGCAAGAUGCAAAUUAUUGAACCCUAACUUUUUGUUCUUUCAAUUUUAAACCCUAAAGAAUAGCAAUUUGCUUUUGUUUUGGAGAUGAAGACUGCAAGUAACAUGAAGAUUCCUGAUAAAUAUGUCUUAAAGUAAGUUUUCUUUUGUCUAUAUACCAUGAGUUUAUUGUUUUCUUUUUGUUGGUGGAACAAUAUUAAAGUGUUGGUAGGGCAAGUUUUUGUCUGUAUACGUGAAGAGGAAUGCUAUAUGUAAGUUUCACGAUAAAUUUCACGAACUGCUUUUACUAAUGAUGCUGAUCCAAUUGGGACUCAACAAUCUGUUAACAAGCCUUAGAUUGAUAUGUCAGUGA